AUGCCUAAUAACUACUAUUACUUUAAUGUCCACUUUUCUACGGGUUCCCUUUUCCCACACAUGGAUGCUCACCACGGUGGACUUCCAAUCACAACUGGAGACGGAACAACCACUAUCACGGCCCGCUUUAUCAAGGGAGUUGACAAAAGGGCCACCAUCACUAAAGGCUGGAGCGACUUCUUCCGUCGGACCCACAUGAACGAAGGGCAAGCAUAUGCUUUCGGCUUCAAAUGCACUUCCAAGGGAUUGUGCCUGAUUGUCUACUCAAUAUAA
rnacentral:rRNA from 1 species